UACGUAGGGUGCGAGCGUUAAUCGGAAUUACUGGGCGUAAAGCGUGCGCAGGCGGCGCGUUAAGACAGGUGUGAAAGCCCCGAGCUUAACUUGGGAAUUGCGCUUGUGACUGGCGUGCUGGAGUGUGGCAGAGGGAGGUGGAAUUCCACAUGUAGCAGUGAAAUGCGUAGAGAUGUGGAGGAACACCGAUGGCGAAAGCAGCCUCCUGGGCCAGCACUGACGCUCAUGCACGAAAGCGUGGGGAGCAAACAGG
rnacentral:rRNA from 1 species